CUUUAUUGGAGAGUUUGAUCCUGGCUCAGGAUGAACGCUGGCGGCGUGCCUAAUACAUGCAAGUCGAGCGAAUGGAUUAAGAGCUUGCUCUUAUGAAGUUAGCGGCGGACGGGUGAGUAACACGUGGGUAACCUACCCAUAAGACUGGGAUAACUCCGGGAAACCGGGGCUAAUACCGGAUAAUAUUUUGAACUGCAUAGUUCGA
rnacentral:rRNA from 1 species